rnacentral:rRNA from 1 species
AAUCCAGAGAUGGAUUUGUGCCUUCGGGAACUGUGAGACAGGUGCUGCAUGGCUGUCGUCAGCUCGUGUUGUGAAAUGUUGGGUUAAGUCCCGCAACGAGCGCAACCCUUAUCCUUUGUUGCCAGCGAUUAGGUCGGGAACUCAAAGGAGACUGCCAGUGAUAAACUGGAGGAAGGUGGGGAUGACGUCAAGUCAUCAUGGCCCUUACGACCAGGGCUACACACGUGCUACAAUGGCGCAUACAAAGAGAAGCGACCUCGCGAGAGCAAGCGGACCUCAUAAAGUGCGUCGUAGUCCGGAUUGGAGUCUGCAACUCGACUCCAUGAAGUCGGAAUCGCUAGUAAUCGUGGAUCAGAAUGCCACGGUGAAUACGUUCCCGGGCCUUGUACACACCGCCCGUCACACCAUGGGAGUGGGUUGCAAAAGAAGUAGGUAGCUUAACCUUCGGGAGGGCGCUUACCACUUUGUGAUUCAUGACUGGGGUGAAGUCGUAACA